rnacentral:lncRNA from 1 species
GUUUAUAUUGGAAUAGUCUUACGAUGGAUAGCUUUCAGGGCAAGGGUCUUUAUGUAAAUUUAAGCAUUUGUUUUUUACGUAAAUUUCAUCAUUUACUGAGUUGAGUGGUUAAGUAUUGUUUCUACGUACUCCAACUUAAGCAUUUGUUUGCCUAGAUUGUAAGUCGCAACUAAUUUUCAGACAAUGCUUCAUUAAACAUGGAAUUCAUAAUAGUCGAGUUGCAGGAAACAUGGCGAUACAUGCAGAGAAGAUUAAAAAAAAAAAUUACAUCCAUAAAGUAUAGACACCGUCACAGUCUUUCCAGGCUCAAAUCAAAGUUGUAUUUUUUUUUUAAAAAGAGAUACCGAUUUAUAUAUAAGAAAACAGAUCAAUAUUACAAUAGUUGAAGGUAGUAAGAACAGAGAAUUCAUGAGAGACAGAUUUCAAAAACCUAAUGUUGAAGACAAUCAAAGUUGUUAAAAAACAUUUCUGCAAAAUACAUUUGUUAUGUACGAAAAUACAACAAUGAAACUGUUUCAUUUUGCUUAUUACAAAACCCACUGAACAAUCCGAAUUUGGCGUGUUAUUACGAUGGGAAGCUCCAGCAGUAUCCGAG